CCUGACUGCUAUCGGAUUGAUACUAAGCCAUGCGAGUCAUUGCAGUAAUGCAAGGCAGACGGCUCAGUAACGCGUAGUCAACCUACCCUAUGGACGGGAAUAACCUCGGGAAACUGAGUAUAAUGCCCGAUAGAACACUAUACCUGGAAUGGUUUGUGUUCCAAAUGAUUAUCGCCGUAGGAUGGGACUGCGGCCUAUCAGUUUGUUGGUGAGGUAAUGGCCCACCAAGACUAUUACAGGUACGGGCUCUGAGAGGAGUAGCCCGGAGAUGGGUACUGAGACACGGACCCAGGCCCUAUGGGGCGCAGCAGGCGAGAAAACUUUGCAAUGUGCGAAAGCACGACAAGGUUAAUCCGAGUGGUUUGUGCUAAACGAACCUUUUGACAGUCCUAGAAACACUGUUGAAUAAGGGGUGGGCAAGUUCUGGUGUCAGCCGCCGCGGUAAAACCAGCACCUCAAGUGGUCAGGAUGAUUAUUGGGCCUAAAGCAUCCGUAGCCGGCUCUGUAAGUUUUCGGUUAAAUCUGUACGCUCAACGUACAGGCUGCCGGGAAUACUGCAGAGCUAGGGAGUGGGAGAGGUAGACGGUACUCGGUAGGAAGGGGUAAAAUCCUUUGAUCUAUUGAUGACCACCUGUGGCGAAGGCGGUCUACCAGAACACGUCCGACGGUGAGGGAUGAAAGCUGGGGGAGCAAACCGGAUUAGAUACCCGGGUAGUCCCAGCUGUAACUAUGCAAACUCAGUGAUGCAUUGGCU
rnacentral:rRNA from 1 species